rnacentral:rRNA from 1 species
UACGUAGGGUGCGAGCGUUGUCCGGAAUUACUGGGCGUAAAGAGCUCGUAGGUGGUUUGUCGCGUUGUUCGUGAAAACUCACAACUCAAUUGUGGGCGUGCGGGCGAUACGGGCAGACUGGAGUACUGCAGGGGAGACUGGAAUUCCUGGUGUAGCGGUGAAAUGCGCAGAUAUCAGGAGGAACACCGGUGGCGAAGGCGGGUCUCUGGACAGUUCCUGACGCUGAGGCACGAAGGUCAGGGGAGCAAAACGGG